GAUGAACGCUAGCUACAGGCUUAACACAUGCAAGUCGAGGGGAAACGACAUCGAAAGCUUGCUUUUGAUGGGCGUCGACCGGCGCACGGGUGAGUAACGCGUAUCCAACCUGCCCAUCACUUGGGGAUAACCUUGCGAAAGUAAGACUAAUACCCAAUGAUAUCUCUAGAAGACAUCUGAAAGAGAUUAAAGAUUUAUCGGUGAUGGAUGGGGAUGCGUCUGAUUAGCUUGUUGGCGGGGUAACGGCCCACCAAGGCAACGAUCAGUAGGGGUUCUGAGAGGAAGGUCCCCCACAUUGGAACUGAGACACGGUCCAAACUCCUACGGGAGGCAGCAGUGAGGAAGAUUGGUCAAUGGGCGAGAGCCUGAACCAGCCAAGUAGCGUGCAGGAAGCCGGCCCUAUGGGUUGUAAACUGCUUUUAGAAGGGAAUAAAGUGAGAGUCGUGACUCUUUUUGUAUAUACCUUAUGAAUAAGGACCGGCUAAUUCCGUG
rnacentral:rRNA from 1 species